UACGGAGGGUGCAAGCGUUAUCCGGAUUCACUGGGUUUAAAGGGUGCGUAGGCGGGUUGGUAAGUCAGUGGUGAAAUCUUCAAGCUUAACUUGGAACUGCCGUUGAUACUAUCAAUCUUGAAUAUUGUGGAGGUAAGCGGAAUAUGUCAUGUAGCGGUGAAAUGCUUAGAUAUGACAUAGAACACCAAUUGCGAAGGCAGCUUGCUACAGGGAUAUUGACACUGAGACACGAAAGCGUGGGGAUCAAACAGG
rnacentral:rRNA from 1 species